GAUGGCAAGGUAAACCGUUGUAAGCAGCCUCAAUCUUCAACGGCGCUUCUAGUUUUCCUGAGAGUCGAUCGGCUAAAAGAUCUGCCACGACGAUGAGAUACUUCAAGCGCAGCGAUUCUUUGUUCCAAAUCAGCAAAAUCAGAUUGUUUAGAGGUUGAUUGCGUAUUAACUUCCGCGACUUGAAAACCAGUAUCACGUUCAACUAUUUUAUCCGCGAGUUCCGAGAGCUUGACUAAAGGCGGAUUUUCAACAAUCUCCGAAAUCGCGACUAACGCUUGUUCAUCAAGAUGACGAAUAACUGAACUAUAUUUAAUAUCCUCAGAACGGAUACGGUAUACAGUAAAU
rnacentral:lncRNA from 13 species